GUAGUCCACGCUGUAAACGAUGAGUGCUGGACGUUGGUGGGCUUGCCUGCCGGUGUCGCAGCUAACGCGUUAAGCACUCCGCCUGGGGAGUACGGCCGCAAGGUUGAAACUCAAAGGAAUUGACGGGGGCCCGCACAAGCGGUGGAGCAUGUGGUUUAAUUCGACGCAACGCGCAGAACCUUACCAGCCCUUGACAUGCCGUGCCAUCUGCAGAGAUGCACAGUUCCUUUCGGGGACGCGUACACAGGUGCUGCUUGGUUGUCGUCAGCUCGUGUCGUGAGAUGUUGGGUUAAGUCCCGCAACGAGCGCAACCCUCCUCUCCCUGUGCCAUCGUGUGAAGCCGGGCACUUUGGAGAAACUGCCGGCGACAAGCCGGAAGAAGGGGGGGAUGACGUCAAGUCCUCAUGGCCCCUACUGGCUGGGCUACACACGUGCUACAAUGGCGGUGACAGAGGGGAGCUAGGGUGCAAGCCCGAGCCGAUCUCAAAAAGCCGUCUCAGUUCGGAUUGGGCUCUGCAACUCGAGCCCAUGAAGGUGGAAUCGCUAGUAAUCGCGGAUCAGCAUGCCGCGGUGAAUA
rnacentral:rRNA from 1 species